rnacentral:snRNA from 1 species
AUUGCUUCUCGGCCUUUUGGCUAAGAUCAAGUGUAGCAUCUGUUCUUAUCAGUUUAAUAUCUGAUAAGUCCUCUAUCUGAGGACGAUAUAUUAAAUGGAUUUUUGGAAGUAGGAGUUGGAAUAGGAGCUUGCUCCAUCCACUCCACAUAUCGACCUGCUAUUGCAGUACCUCCAGGAACGGUGCACCAAUU